rnacentral:rRNA from 1 species
GUAGGUGGCAAGCGUUGUCCGGGAAUUAUUGGGGCGUAAAGCGCGCGCAGGCGGCUCUUUAAGUCUGAUGUGAAAGCCCACGGGCUCAACCGUGGAGGGUCAUUGGAAACUGGAGAACUUGAGUACAGAAGAGGAAAGCGGAAUUCCACGUGUAGCGGUGAAAUGCGUAGAGAUGUGGAGGAACACCAGUGGCGAAGGCGGCUUUCUGGUCUGUAACUGACGCUGAGGCGCGAAAGCGUGGGGAGCAAACAGGAUUAGAUACCCUGGUAGUCCACGCCGUAAACGAUGAGUGCUAAGUGUUAGGGGGUUUCCGCCCCUUAGUGCUGCAGCUAACGCAUUAAGCACUCCGCCUGGGGAGUACGGCCGCAAGGCUG